rnacentral:lncRNA from 1 species
CAAGAGAACUCCAGGUUACUGGCCUCCGGCAGCAGUCCAGCUGUUACCAGUAAACUGGAAGCUGACGUCACUAACAAGCAUUCAGGGAGCACCAAGAAGCAGACCAGAGGUCUCCUAAGCUUGACUCCUCUUCGGCAUGAGACUAAGGAAGCUCCCCAAGUUCCAGUCAGAGCAGGCUUAUGGAAGAGUCUUGCCCUAACAGAAAAACAGGGAUGAGGCUGGGAAGAGGAUAAAGUUAUAGCAGGAUAAAGUUAUAAGAAGAUAACAAAGCAGGAUGACAUCACAUGGGACCAAGAAGGGGGCUGCAUCAUCCCUGGACCUGCUCCUGGGGGCUGUCGGAUUGUGGGCGUGGCCGCUUUGGAUGCCCAGGUGAGCCCUGACACAGAGGUGCUUCCUCACAU